GUGCAAAGUGAGCCGUUAUAUACAAAAUAAAUAAUAACACUUACCAAAUCAGGUGUGUGUAGUGCCGUCCCUCGAACCCGGAAGUGUGUUAGGCGGGACACGUGAUCACCGAAAAGUGCGUGAAUUGCGUAAUGACGUGUAGCCCGGUUACUAGGCUACAGGUAUAAAUAUACAGUAUAUUAAAAACCGUGCCAUUUAUAAAGUGCAAAUGUGAUCUAAAAACAAGUAAUGG